UGGGGAAUUUUGGACAAUGGGCGCAAGCCUGAUCCAGCAAUGCCGCGUGCAGGAUGAAGGCCUUCGGGUUGUAAACUGCUUUUGUACGGAGCGAAACGGCUUCUUCUAAUACAGGGAGCUAAUGACGGUACCGUAAGAAUAAGCACCGGCUAACUACGUGCCAGCAGCCGCGGUAAUACGUAGGGUGCGAGCGUUAAUCGGAAUUACUGGGCGUAAAGCGUGCGCAGGCGGUUAUAUAAGACAGAUGUGAAAUCCCCGGGCUCAACCUGGGACCUGCAUUUGUGACUGUAUAGCUAGAGUACGGUAGAGGGGGAUGGAAUUCCGCGUGUAGCAGUGAAAUGCGUAGAUAUGCGGAGGAACACCGAUGGCGAAGGCAAUCCCCUGGACCUGUACUGACGCUCAUGCACGAAAGCGUGGGGAGCAAACAGGAUUAGAUACCCCCGUAGUCCCUGAGCGGGCUGGCAAGGCGCAU
rnacentral:rRNA from 1 species